UACGGAGGGUGCAAGCGUUAUCCGGAUUCACUGGGUUUAAAGGGUGCGUAGGUGGCUUUGUAAGUCAGUGGUGAAAGCCCGGAGCUCAACUCCGGAACUGCCAUUGAUACUGCUUAGCUUGAAUCAGGUCGAGGUGGAUGGAAUAUUACAUGUAGCGGUGAAAUGCUUAGAGAUGUAAUAGAACACCGAUUGCGAAGGCAGUUCACUAGGCCCGUAUUGACACUGAGGCACGAAAGCGUGGGGAU
rnacentral:rRNA from 1 species